rnacentral:rRNA from 1 species
GAAACCCUGACGUAGCGACACCGCGUGAACGAAGAAGCCCUUUGGGGUGUAAAGUUCUGUCGGCUGGAACGAAAAAAAUGACGGUACCAGCAAAGGAAGCAUCGGCUAACUACGUGCCAGCAGCCGCGGUAAGACGUAGGAUGCAAGCGUUGUCCGGAUUUAUUGGGCGUAAAGAGUUCGUAGGUGGUUUGUUAAGUUUGAUGUUAAAGAUCAAGGCUCAACCUUGGGAAAGCAUUGAAUACUGGCAGACUUGAGUAUGGUAGAGGCAAGCGGAAUUCCCAGUGUAGCGGUGAAAUGCGUAGAUAUUGGGAAGAACACCGGUGGCGCAAGCGGCUUGCUGGGCCAUAACUGACACUGAGGAACGAAAGCUAG